UCAAAAUGAUGGGAUUCCACUUUAUUGCUCUGUGUGUUUCUGAAAUGCAUGAUAAUUGUGGAGAUUUUUAUUUG
rnacentral:snoRNA from 1 species